UGAAUCCGUGAUGAUAUUCUGGCUCCCUCUUCUGAAACAAGUGAGGAGAACUGCCAUUGUUACCCAAAUAUUUCUGAGGUCCA